AUGCUCAUUCAGAACACAUACGCUGGUUAGAGGAAUUCUUGCCUGACAACUAUGAACACCACAUUUGUAGUGUAGAAAUUGACAAGAGAGGAGUGAAUGUAACAUUGAGGUUGGCUGUUUUCACCAAAGAAGGGGUCAAGGAAUGGAUGAACUCCAUGCAAAGGUCGUCUUUGUCAACCUUUCGAGUGGAAAGAACUUAUCCUUCCUCUGGUGAAAACGUUUUGUACAAUGUAUGUAGCUCCCAACAUAACA